GUGGGGAAUUUUGGACAAUGGGCGCAAGCCUGAUCCAGCAAUGCCGCGUGCAGGAAGAAGGCCUUCGGGUUGUAAACUGCUUUUGUACGGAACGAAACGGUCCGGGUUAAUACCCUGGGCUAAUGACGGUACCGUAAGAAUAAGCACCGGCUAACUACGUGCCAGCAGCCGCGGUAAUACGUAGGGUGCAAGCGUUAAUCGGAAUUACUGGGCGUAAAGCGUGCGCAGGCGGUUUUGUAAGACAGGCGUGAAAUCCCCGGGCUCAACCUGGGAAUUGCGCUUGUGACUGCAAGGCUGGAGUGCGGCAGAGGGGGAUGGAAUUCCGCGUGUAGCAGUGAAAUGCGUAGAUAUGCGGAGGAACACCGAUGGCGAAGGCAAUCCCCUGGGCCUGCACUGACGCUCAUGCACGAAAGCAUGGGGAUCAAACAGGAUUAGAAACCCGUGUAGUCC
rnacentral:rRNA from 1 species